CGGCCACUUACCUUUUGACCGCAAGAUGUCGCUGGUUGAAACAAAAUUCCGUUCAGCUGACGUCCAGCUGACAACAACAACCAACAAACAAAUGCGACAACAUCAACAACCACAACAUGAAUAUGAACAGGUAUGAAUUAAUUGAGGUGUAAUUACUAUGUAUAUAUAUAUAUAUGUGCGUGUGCGUGUGUGUGUGCUUGUAUGUAUGUUUUUGUUAUAAGUAUAUAUAAGUAUAUAUAAACUGUUGAAGCAGUAAUAAUAAUAAUAAUUAUAGUAAUAAUGACGAUGAUGAUGAUGAUGGUGAUAAUAAUAAUAAUAAUAAUAAUAAUGAUAAUAAUAAUAAAAAUAAUAAUAAUGAUAAUAGUUGUAAUAAUAAUAAUAAUAAUAAUAAUAAUGAUAAUAAUAAUAAUAAUAAUAAUAAUAAUAAUAAUAAUAAUAAUAAUAAUGGUAACAAUGAUAGUAAUAAUUAAUGAACUUAAAUCCGGUGGUGCGUGAUAAUCUUAAUCCAGUUAUGCAAUUUGAAGGGAUGAGAGAUGUUUCUGUCCAGUAGGAGAAAAUAACAAUGACAAGUGGAAGAACUGGAAGAUGAACAACGCCAGCAACAACAGCAGCAUCAGCAUCAGCAUCAGCAGCAAGAAUUAAUACGAGUCACUGCAACGGUAGAACUAAUAGUUGCUGUAAUAGUGGUAGUUGUAGCAGCAGCAGCAGCAGCAGCAAAACCAGCAACAGCAGCAACA
rnacentral:lncRNA from 1 species